AUGAACGCUGGCGGCGUGCCUCAUACAUGCAAGUCGAGCGAACGGACGAGAAGCUUGCUUCUCUGAUGUUAGCGGCGGACGGGUGAGUAACACGUGGAUAACCUACCUAUAAGACUGGGAUAACUUCGGGAAACCGUAGCUAAUACCGGAUAAUAUUUUGAACCGCAUGGUUCAAAAGUGAAAGACGGUCUUGCUGUCACUUAUAGAUGGAUCCGCGCUGCAUUAGCUAGUUGGUAAGGUAACGGCUUACCAAGGCAACGAUGCAUAGCCGACCUGAGAGGGUGAUCGGCCACACUGGAACUGAGACACGGUCCAGACUCCUACGGGAGGCAGCAGUAGGGAAUCUUCCACAAUGGGCGAAAGCCUGACGGAGCAACGCCGCGUGAGUGAUGAAGGUCUUCGGAUCGUAAAACUCUGUUAUUAGGGAAGAACAUAUGUGUAAGUAACUGUGCACAUCUUGACGGUACCUAAUCAGAAAGCCACGGCUAACUACGUG
rnacentral:rRNA from 1 species